AUUAUACCGUGAAACUGCGAAUGGCUCAUUAAAUCAGUUAUCGUUUAUUUGAUAGUACCUUACUACUUGGAUAACCGUGGUAAUUCUAGAGCUAAUACAUGCUAAAAACCCCAACUUCGGGAGGGGUGUAUUUAUUAGAUAAAAAACCAACGCCCUUCGGGGCUCCUUGGUGAAUCAUAAUAACUUAACGGAUCGCAUGGCCUUGCGCCGGCGACGGUUCAUUCAAAUUUCUGCCCUAUCAACUUUCGAUUGUAGGGUAUUGGCCUACAAUGGUAUCAACGGGUAACGGGGAAUUAGGGUUCGAUUCCGGAGAGGGAGCCUGAGAAACGGCUACCACAUCCAAGGAAGGCAGCAGGCGCGCAAAUUACCCAAUCCCGACACGGGGAGGUAGUGACAAUAAAUACUGAUACAGGGCUCUUUUGGGUCUUGUAAUUGGAAUGAGUACAAUUUAAAUCCCUUAACGAGGAACAAUUGGAGGGCAAGUCUGGUGCCAGCAGCCGCGGUAAUUCCAGCUCCAAUAGCGUAUAUUAAAGUUGUUGCAGUUAAAAAGCUCGUAGUUGAACCUUGGGCCUGGCUGGCCGGUCCGCCUCACCGCGUGCACUGGUCCGGCCGGGCCUUUCCUUCUGGAGAGCCGCAUGCCCUUCACUGGGUGUGUCGGGGAACCAGGACUUUUACUUUGAAAAAAUUAGAGUGUUCAAAGCAGGCCUUUGCUCGAAUACAUUAGCAUGGAAUAAUAGAAUAGGACGUGCGGUUCUAUUUUGUUGGUUUCUAGGACCGCCGUAAUGAUUAAUAGGGAUAGUCGGGGGCAUCAGUAUUCAAUUGUCAGAGGUGAAAUUCUUGGAUUUAUUGAAGACUAACUACUGCGAAAGCAUUUGCCAAGGAUGUUUUCAUUAAUCAGUGAACGAAAGUUAGGGGAUCGAAGACGAUCAGAUACCGUCGUAGUCUUAACCGUAAACUAUGCCGACUAGGGAUCGGGCGAUGUUAUUAUUUUGACUCGCUCGGCACCUUACGAGAAAUCAAAGUUUUUGGGUUCUGGGGGG
rnacentral:rRNA from 1 species